rnacentral:lncRNA from 1 species
ACCCCUUUCUGAUAAAUCAUAGAAAAAUGAUGUUGGAAGAGGGCCUACAAGGCCAUCCAGUUCAACCCCCCCCCCACACACACACACAGCUCAAGGCAGGAAUCCGAAUCAAAGCAGAUCUGCCAGGGGAUUAUCUAAGUUUUUCUUGAAUGGACCCAAUGUUGGAGCACUCACUAACUCCCAAGGCAACUGGUAUCGCCAAUUAUUUCCCUCCUGAAAAUAAUUAAGAAUGACCACUUGUGAAAAGAUCAGAAAGAGUUAGUUUUUAUAAUGGUUACAAUGGCAAGAUUAAUAUUUGCAAAAGGUUUCAUUUGUAUUGUGUGUAGUUGUUAUGGAAUUUGUACUUUAAUUUAGUUUUGCUACUUGUCAUUUUCCAAAAAUAAAAUAAAAAUUAAUUUUUAUUUUAAAACCCCUGCAUCUUCGUAGGCUCCCUGCUUGACCAUCCUUCCCUCUGGCUGUCUGGUGGCGCGUCAGUUCAGAAGCUUUGCUUCUCUCUCUUUGCAGGAUCUGGUCCAAAGAGCGUCCCAGACCCCAGCCCGCUCAGGGGAGGGCACCUGCUCUUUUGAGGAAGGGCCACAGGAUCUGGUUGAAGGAGCAUCCCAGACCCCAGACCGCUCAGGGGAGGGCACCUUCUCUUUUGAGGAAGGACUGCAGGCUUUGAGGUGCUCCCCUGACCCCUUGGCCCAGGAAUUUAUCAGGGCCAUAGAGACCAUCGGUCAGUUCGCUCUCCGCCUGUUCAGUGAGCAUCAGCAGCUGAAGAGCCGGCUGCACCGCCUAGAAGCCCAGCAGCAGGAGAUGGUCUCCCGUCACCUGGACGAGAAGGCGCAGCUACAGGAGGCAGUGCGGGAGCUGAAGAGAAACCAGGAGGCCUCCAGAGCCCAGCAAACCGCUCGCCAAAGAUCAGCCUCACGGCCCUCGCCAUCCACAGGCGUAAGGACUCUUGAAAAAGGUGACUGGUUCUUAAGGAUGGGACUGAGCCUUGGAGAUGGGGAAGAGUGGUCUCCCGUCACCUGGACGAGAAGGCGCAGCUACAGGAGGCAGUGCGGGAGCUGAAGAGAAACCAGGAGGCCUCCAGAGCCCAGCAAACCGCUCGCCAAAGAUCAGCCUCACGGCCCUCGCCAUCCACAGGCGUAAGGACUCUUGAAAAAGGUGACUGGUUCUUAAGGAUGGGACUGAGCCUUGGAGAUGGGGAAGAGAUACUUUGAUUGAUUGAUUGAUUGAUUGAUUGAUUCAUUCAUUCAUUCAUUCAUAGACCACCUUUCUCCCAAGAAGGGUGGCUCACAGUAUUAAAAGGAAUGGGGUUAAAAUCUUAGUAUGUAAAACAUUAAAAAGCAAUUAAACUGUGCCCUAUUUAAAAUAGGAUUAAAUAAUUAAAAGCAAGUAAACAUUUUAAACUAUCGUAAC